AGACCUGUGUGGAACGACAGGGGAGGACUGGUUAUGGGAAGGCGGAGACCGACAAGGGAAACACCGACAAAGGGAAAGCUGCAGCUCAUUGAUGCUCAACUCAGUUCAACCUGGCCUUAGCAGGAGGUCUAGAGAGCCCAUGCCACAUUCUCUUCACAAAAGUAAAAUAAAGUUUUAGUUUCUCUGGUGGCUAUGACCGGGUUACCUUCCUACCAGGUCACUUGCCGUGGUGCUGAGACUGAGGCCUUGAAAAUGACACUACAUUGAGGCCAAUGUAGAAAGGACAGCAGAGACUUGAAGAUUUUGCAAGAAAGAAAGAAAGAUUGAGAUCAUAGUGAGAAAAACAUUUUGGAUGUGUUGGAUUAAACAAUAAAUAUUAAAAUUUAUUUUAUCGGUUCCCUUGUGCUUUUUUUCAUUGUAACCACUAAAACUGUUAAAAUAUGUGACUUUCGUCACAUCUGUCAUUGAAAACAAAAACCAGACAAAUUUGGGCCACAGACAAUUGAAAGCUUGGGGUGGACAGUAUGUCCCACAAGAUCAUAUGAGUACAAUUUUUCUUCUUUGUAAUGUUUGAUGGUGAGUGUCCAUAAAUACUACAAUGUCAUGAAGAACAUGAGAAUGAAUGAAUCAGUUAUGAAUAGGAAGGCAGCGGUCAGAAGCCCACUUCUUGCUCUCAGCCGGAGAAGCACUGAAGUGCAGAGAAUACCAGAGAGACAGUCUGAAGGAUUACUUUUUCUGGGGCACAUCACACACAUGCACACCGAGAUACAUCACACUCCUAGCUACACCCACAUGCACACCCACACACAUCCCUGUUCAUCAGUAAAGAUGUGCACAGAACUCAUCCCCAUUCCCCCGAGCCCUCUCUCCACAGCAGAGACUUUGUGGUACGAAGAAGCCCAUGCAGUGCUAAAGAAAAUCCAGGGCACUAUUGGGGACUGGGUAGUUAUUCCUCCCAAAGGAAAAAAGUCCAAAAGGCAAGGCCCCUCCACUUCCUUCUGCGUAAGAGAGCCCCUGGCCAGACGCUUCCCCAUAAAACAGAGUGCCUUGGGGAUUCUGAAGACUCCAGGCUGUCCAGCUGCGUGUUUCCAGAUGUGUCUACAUCUGCCUGUCUUCCCAGUGUCUCUGGCAGGGGUGGGAUGGGCCAGCUCUUGACUUCACCCUCCCCUCAGGACCACCCCAGCUGCAAGAAGCCUAUGGCCUCAAGCCCCCCUUCAGAUGUCCUGACACAAUUUGGGCUCAAUUAGGAGCUCAGUCUGGCAGGCAGGAAAGAGAUGUUCCCCAUGAAAUAGGGAACAAAGCUCACUCCCUGGAACACUGAUCCCCUCAAGGAGAAAGCACAUUUCUCCAGCUCUGUGCCUAAAGGAAGCUUAUCAGUCCUUUGCCGGGCUAACAGAUGAGUGUGAAGCUUCAAAGACCACCCUCAGCACUGCCCAUCUAGGACAGUCAGGUCCUUCCCGGCUGGCUCUAGAGUCUGCAGUGGGAGACCCUGUUCAUCUGGCCUAGCGGGUAGCUGGGGAUGGAUGCAGACAGGCCUAAGGACGAGGACAUGACUUCCUCAGUCUCAUGAAGGUCACCAGAGCCUGCCUGCUGCUCCCCAGCCUCUGUGCUGGCCAGUGCAUGUGGGCGGGAGCUGGAGUGGAGGAGCCCUUUGGGUCCCGGGAGUGCGUUCACUGUUCAUCCUCAGGGGCCCCAGGACCUUAGGAAGGCUGGAAGCCCUAAGCUGCCGCCUGUUAGCUAUUUCCCAGGCGUUGCCCCAACAGCUCAUGUGUAAACAAUGACACCAUCUUCACAGCUGCGAUUCUCAGCUUUAUAGGAUCCCAGGCACUAGGAAUCUGCUCAGUGGAAAUCUAAAGUCAACUCUAAACCUGGCUAUUCGGUAUAGCCCCUCCGUGUGAAACUUUACCAAAAUCAUAAGCAUUUCAAAAAGUCCCCUCCCUAAAGAAUAUUGGGGGCAGGGACUCUGUGCAACCCUAGGGAUAUGACCGAGAAGGUAAAAAUUAAAUGUUGGUAAUAUGCAUGAUGCCACAGCUGAGGGUCAAACUCUAGAAAUGGUGCCCUGCUAACAUGUGACUUGUGUUGUGUCAGGUACUUUGCCACCCUGUACCAUCCCUGGUUAACGCCCCUGGUGAGCCGGUCACAUGGUUUCUAUUAUUAGCUCCACUUUAUAGAUUUAAAAGUUACAUACUCAUGAUCAUACAGAGGCUAUGCUGAUUGAAAGCAGGACUGUUUGCCAUAGAAAUGCCCAUGCUCUCCCAACCACGCGGCCCUGAGUAGGUCAGCAAGUAAACAGGUGAAUGAAUGGAAGAGCAAAUGAUCAAAGCAGCUUGGGCAGUAGAAAGCGCACAGAACGUAUCGUCUAGGCCUGCCUCUGCCGCUGACCAGCCAAGUGAACUUUGGCCAGUCCCUUUCCUCUGAGCCUGUUUCCUAUUUAUACAAAAAAGAAGGCUGGAGCCCAGUCUCUGUGGCUUCUUGGGGUUCACAUGGGCUGGGAUCCCAGGGCAACUGUGAUUAGCAUACAAAUGAUCUGUUCUAUCUACCCAUCCUCCUAAAGCCAGAGCCCUGGCUGGUCAGCUGCCCCAAGCUCCACUCUACACGCAGAGUUCCAGGGUUAUAUUUUUGGGACAGUGGGGACAAGUGCAGACAUAGAAUCAUCAGGGCACAGCUAACACCGGGCCUCUCCGAGCCAGUGUCUUAGCCUGGCACAGCAUGGAUCCUGCUAAGUCCCGGGAGAGUGAAGAUACACCAUCAUGGUGUGGCCCUUGUCUAGGCUCCAACAGUCUAGGAGCUGUUUUUUUAGGCUGGCUAACCUCUUUUCUUGAUCACUUUCAUUGAGAAGGCUGGGAGAGACAGGCAUAAUGGCACAUGCCUGCAACCCCAGCACUCGGAAGACAAAAGCAAGGAGAUGGCAAGAUCAUGAGCUCUAGGUCAGCUUGGCUGACAAAAACGAGGCCCGAUGGAACCCCCAACAAAUCUCCCGGAACACUAAAGAAGCCAUCCAAAAGGCCACCACCCCUCGUACCCAAAGAUGCUGACUGUGACAUUUCUUAGCACUUCAAUGGUUAUGUCCAAUGUCAACCAGAUAGGCUGUGGAAGCAUGACCCCGCAGCUCAACCAAGUCCUGGGGGGAAACGUCUUCCAACAAAAAGAGAAGGGACAAAAAAUUAUAGCACCCGAGGAAAGAGGAUUGCCAUGAGUUUGAGGCCAGCCUGAGGUACAGGAGGAGAAACGAAGCUCCUCCCCCAGAUCUGGGGAUCUAGAUCAGUGUAUGGAGCACUUGACUAGCACAUACUAAAUCCUGAGCUGGAUCUCCAGCACAGCAUAGACCCAACAGGGUAGCACGUGUCCAGAUAAGUGGAGGAAGGAGGACCAGGACUUCAAGGUCAUCCCAGGCUACCUAUCAUGCUCAAGGUCAUUCUACAACGUGUCUCAAAAGAACCAAAAACCCUGCUUUAGAAAUAAAUACCAGGGGGCUGGUGAGAUGGCUCAGUGGGUAAGAGCACCCAACUGCUCUUCCGAAGGUCCAGAGUUCAAAUCCCAGCAACCACAUGGUGGCUCACAACCAUCUGUAACGAAAUCUGACGCCCUCUUCUGGUGUGUCUGAAGACAGCUACAGUGUACUUACAUAUAAUAAAUAAAUAAAUCUUUAAAAAAAAAAAAAAUAAAUAAAUAAAUACCAACAACUCAAUCACAGCCUCUGCUGUUACAAUUCAUGAAGAAGGUAUUAACGGUGGCCGUUAUCACUCUGUAGUUAAGCCAGGCUCUGGCCCAGCAGACCUCUAAGCGUUGGGUCCUGUAAUAAUCCUGCGGGGUAGGCCUACAUAUUAGUGCCAGAGCCAGAGGUCGGCAGAACUGACACAUAGAUCCUUUAAGCCCCUUCUUUGCCCCUGCCUACUUAGCUUCAAACUUAGAAAUCACUGGGCCUGUGUUCUCAACAGUGACAAUUCUCCGUAUUUGUCUUAAGGAUCUGAAUAAUGGUUCUAUUAUUUUGUGAUCUAAAAAAAGGGGGGGGGUUAAUUCAGAGUUUGGAGAGAUGUGUCAGCAGGUAGGAGCACUGACAGCUCCAGUUCCAGAGGCUCUGGUAUCCUUACACAGACAUCCAUGCAGGCAAAACAUCAAUACAUGUAAAAAUAAAUCUUUUUUCAUACUUUUUUUUCCCCAAAGAACUAAAAAUAGUGAGCACUGGGUAGAACAGAAGAGCUCUUAGUUUCAGCUCCAGGUCUGUCACUGAAUUGCUGUGACACGUUGGGAAAUCUCUCCACCUCUCUGGGCUGAUGUUCCGUCUCCUGCACAGCUCCGUGGAAGAACACUUGCUUAGCGUGUGCAAGGUCCUGGCUUGGAUCCCCGUGACCAUAAGAAACGAAACAAAAGAUUCAAGGCCUGUCAUCUGUGAAACUCCCUGCCAGUGUAUUUACAUCUGGCCUCAAGUUGUCUAAAGCCAGGCAGGACAAUGACCAUCUUGUAAGUGGGAACCAGAGCCUCAGGGAAAUGAAGUCAUUCACCUGUCCUUCAGGGAAGUCUUUGCUACUGCCUGCACCAGCUCAGAUUCCCACUCCACAUUCUUACUGCACCUCUCUGAAUUCUCUCCUGGGCUAAUGACAACUAUCUAGUGAUGGGGAAAAUGUUUUUGAGACAUUGGCACUUAAAAUGUUCUUUUAAAGUGACACCAGGAAUCCCUGCAGAGACUUUACCUACACAGGAUCAAUCAGCUGACCACCCCUCAGGAAGCCCAGGGCAUCUGCAUGUCCUCCAAGAACAAGAGGCAUGGAUGUGGUUAGGAGUCCACACACAGUGGCAAGGCAUGUCAUAACAAACCUCUGUUGAGGAAGCCACUGUGACUCCUCCAGGUCACCUUUCCCAACACUGGACCAUGAGUGUUGUGGCUGUAAUGUGCUGGUGGUGACAAAUGGAAUUUUUGACGUGAUGAAAGCUUUGCUAUGUAUUGCCGGAACCCUCCUGCUCUGUCUUCUGCAUUCUGCAGCUGGGUCCAAGUGACAAUCCCGCGCUUUGAAAGAUCCCUGGACUCAAGAACAGUCUGGGCUUAACUCCUGGCUUCAUUACUAACUGUAAACCAAAGCUCACUGAACCUCAGUUUCCCCAACUAUAAAAUAAGGGGGGGGAGGAUGUUGAAAUCCCUACCAAAGACACAAUGCUAUGUGACAUUAACAUACGUGCAUGGAUCCAAUCACAUCAUUUCAUUUUCUCCUUUUGAUAUCCAGUAAGCAUCCGCCGAGCACAGAGUAUCAAGUUGUCACCCACAUCACCUCAGUAGCACCUCCCAUCAGUGGCACGGCUGGGUGAGUCUUGGUGCAUUUCACAUAUUGUAAACUGAAGCUCAGGAUGCAGAUGCAGAUGAGGUUUGUCAUCUAGCGCUAUCAAUGAGUACCAGAAAAGCAGAAAGUUUGAAAUUUGCUGUCCCAACAUGGUGCCUCAAGUGUGGGCCUGAGGCUAGAGUUUUCAACAUCUUUGGGGGGUGUGGAAAUCCCAUGAAAGUUCCAGAUCCUGUCUAGCACACCACACCAUCUCCAACCCUUGUUUCCUAUAAAGUCUGGGAGGCAGACAACAUAAAACAAACAAACCAACGAACGAACAACAACUCAGGAGAUAAGUCAGAACUGCCAGAAGAAAUUCCAAGAAAGGGAAGGAUGACAUGGGGGCAAAUGGACAGAGGAACAACUUAUGGCACUGAAAGUCCCAUGGGUGGGGACAGAGCAGGAGGGCUCUGGAUUCAUCUGAAACACUUGGGCCUCUUAAAACAUGAGCACGUUGGAGAGUCAUUUGAGUAAAAGAUGAUAACUAAGAAUGGUUUACCACCAGGAGAAAAAAAAAAAAAA